rnacentral:lncRNA from 1 species
AGUCUAAGGUUGCUCCCACCAGACUAGGAGGACUGGAGAGUAGGGUUGGGGUCAAAGGGUAGCCUCCUGCAGGUCGCCUCCUCCUGUGGCUUUCCCGGACGUCGCGCUGGGACUUCCUGCCGACACCGCACUUCUUCCCAGACUCCCACCUGCGCCGCUGGGGGCUUGGGUCCAGGUAAAAGGCGGGUCGGGAGUGCGGGCAGCGAGCUUCGGUGGGGCCUUUUCGUCCGCGGUCUCCCCUUUCCCAAGCCUCUUCAUCAGCCUUUGCAGACUUUCUGCAGAAGGAAGAAAAUCUCUUGCUGGAGUCGUGGUUGUUUUGUCCCCAGCAGCUUCACCGACCAGGGGAUUCCAGCCAGUUUGGGUGAACACUGGGUGAAUUUGUUCUUUUGGGGGAUGUUCUUUAUAUUUGGUAAAUUAUGUACAGGUGGAGAAAUUAGAAACUCAUUGUUAGGGAGUACGGGCAUCUGACACAAUUAAAUGCAUGGGUGAAUGAAUGCAUGUAAAUGCAAAUUUUACUGUCACGGAAAAUCAGCUCGGUAUUCAGCUCAGAACCCUGUAAAUCUCUAAGCUUCAAAAUACAAGCAUCUCCAGAGAAAAAAAGAGAACAUGCAGGCUUGUUUUUGUAUCACAAAUGGGAAUUGAGUUGACCAUAAACAGCAAGAGCCUUUUCCAAGUGGAUUUUCCUUACCUUGUUAAUUUGGAAAUUUUCAAACUGAAGAAAAUGUCAAAGUCUGGUACAACAAACCACCAUUGCCCUAGAUUCACUAAGUAAUUAAUCUCUUGUCAUUUCCUUUUUUUGAGACAGUCUCACUCUAUUGCCCAGGCUGGAGUGCAACAGCACGAUCUCCGCUCAUUGCAACCUCCACCUCCCAGGUUCAAGUGAUUCUCUUGCCACAGCCUCCCAAGUAGCUGGGAUGACAGGCGCAGACCACCACACCCAGCUAAUUUUUGUAUUUUUAGUAGAGACGGGGUUUCACCAUGUUGGCCAGGCUUAACUCCUGACCUCGUGAUCUGCCCUCCUGGGCCUCCCAAAGUGCUGGGAUUACAAGCACGAGCCACCGCGCCUUGCACAUACGAAGGUUUAUAAGCUAAAAGUAAGUUGACGGUGAGGUAGGAGGCGGGACUAGACUCUGGAGUCUAGUGGGCUUGGACACCCCACCAAAUUGAAGACUAGCUAAAACAGGUCUGUGCCACAUGAAUAUUUUUUUUUGGUGUCUCCACUAUUGAGUAGGUUCUCAGGUGGUCAGGGCCUCUGAGGUCUCCCUUUGGGCAAUGCUGCUUACCCCCUUCCUUUCCUCCCUUCCACAGUUACCAUUUGUUUAGCUCCUCUCUGCCCAGCCCUCUGGAAUUUAGGUUCAACAUCCAACUGUCCAUUUUUAGCUCCUAAUCCACUUUUAUAACACCCUGCUAUUUAUAUUUACACCUUUCUGGAAGGUGGGAAUUUAAAAGGGAAAAUUAACUAGACAUUUGCUAAACUUAGGCUGAAACCCCCUGUAGCGAUCCUUAGUCGACCUGGGGACAACAGCAAGCAUCCCAGAGGACUUGGCACUGGAGUGUCUUUUACGCUAUUGGAGCAAGUUCAAAUUCGUCUUAAGAAGAGACUCAUUUUUUGUUGCAGCACUGUUUGGGUUCAAUACAGAUUAGAAAACUAACAGAUUUGGCCUACAUAUGGUUCUAUACAUUAUAAUGAUAUUUACAAUUAGACUUAUUUUGUAAAAAGGAAAAUGGGAAGACGUCCCUUAUGUACAGGCUUUUAUGGCUCUUUACAGGCUCAUGUUAAUUCCAGGGACCAGAAUGCCAUGCCUAAGGGAUCCCCUCCUAGCUGCUCCCUUUAGAAGGCUUACGUUUUCCCCAGGGUCUCUUCAGUCCCCCAAUUCUGAGGGGCUUCCUACCAGUUUUUCAAUGAAGGAACCCACCCCAAGGUCAUCACUCACGCCUCCCCCUUAUGCAAACUAGCCCCUAUCCCUCCCACUUCCCAAGAGAGUAAGCCCAACCAGUAUCACCAGGAGUGGGGCCCCAUAUCGGCCCCUAAAGUGAAACCUGUGUGCAUUGUGGGUGGUAGCUAGUGGAAGUAAGGGAACAUGUGCCAUUUUCUGUGUCUAAUUUGGCUUUAUGCAAGGAAAAAAUUGGACAGUUUUUAGAGAAUCAAGAAAAGUUUAUAGAGAAGUUUGUUAAGUUAACCAUGUUGUUUCAUUUAACUUGUUAUGACUCACAAAUAUUGUCAUCCGCUUGUUGUGUUGUGGGGAAAAGAAGUGGAGAAAAAAGGUGUGGUAUAUACCUAUAUAAAUCCUAUUAAUCCUAUUUCUCUGGAAAACCCUCACUAAUACAGGAUUGGUUUUUGUUGUUGUUGUUGUUUGUUUGGUUUUUUUUUUUUAAAGAGAUGGGGUUUUGCCAUGUUGCUCAGGCUGGUCUCGAACUCCUGGACUCAAGUGACCCACCCACCUUGGCUUCUCAAAGUGCUGGGAGUACAGACAUGAACCACCAUGCUCGACCUUGUUGAAACUUUUUGCAUCUGUAUUUGUGAGCCAUGGUGUUGGCCUGUAGUUCUCUGUUGUUUUAAUGUCUUUCGUUUUGGUAUUAGGGUGAUGCUGGCCUCACAGAAUGUUAGAAAGUAUUCCCUCUGCUUUUUCUGGAAGAGAUUGUAGAAAACUGGCAUACUUUCUUACUUUCUUCCUUAAAUGUUUGGUAGAAUUCACUAGUGAACACAUCUGGACUUGGUGCUUUUUGUUUUGGAAUGUUAUUAUUCUUUUUCUUUAUAGAUACAGAUCUAUUUAGAUUGUCUGUUUCUUCUUGUGUGAGUUUUGGCAGUGAUAUGGUUUGGCUGUGUCCCCACCCAAAUCUCAUCUUGAAUUCCCACAUGUUGUGGGAGGCACCCGGUGGGAGGUAAUUGAAUCAUGGGGCAAGUCUUCCCCAUCCUGUUAUUGUGAUAGUCAAUAAGUCUCACUAGUUUUGACUGUCUUAAAAACGGGAAUUUUUCUGCACAAGCUCUCUCUUUGCCUGCCAACAUCCACGUAAGAUGUGACUUGCUCCUCCCUGGCUUCCACCAUGAUUGUGAGGCCGCCCCAGCCACGUGGAACUGUGAGUCCAAUUAAACCUUUUUCUUUUGUGAAUUGCCCACUUUCGGGUAUGUCUUUAUAAGCAGCAUGAAAACAGACUAAUACAGGCAUAUUGUUUCUUUCACAUCACUGAUGUAUUUCAUCUAGGCUUUCAAAUUUGUGGAUGUAGAAUUGUUCAUGAAAUUGCUUUAUUAUCCAUUUCGUAUUUGUUAUUUUUAUUUUUUAUUAUACUUUAAGUUUUAGGGUAGAUGUGCACAACGUGCAUGUUAGUUACAUAUGUAUACAUGUGCCAUGUUGGUAUGCUGCACCCAUUAACUCGUCAUUUAACAUUAGGUAUAUCUCCUAAUGCUAUUCCUCCCCCUCACCCCACCCCACAACAGGCCCCGGUGUGUGAUGUUCCCCUUCCUGUGUCCAUGUGUUAUCACUGUUCAAUUCCCACCUAUGAGUGAGAACAUGUGGUGUUUGGUUUUUUGUCCUUGGGAUAGUUUGCUGAGAAUGAUGGUUUCCAGCUUCAUCCAUGUCCCAACAAAGGACAUGAACUCAUCAUUUUUUAUGGCUGCAUAGUAUUCCAUGGUAUAUAUGUGCCAUAUUUUCUUAAUCCAGUCUAUCAUUGAUGGACGUUUGGGUUGGUUCCAAGUCUUUGCUAUUGUGAAUAGUGCUGCAAUAAACGUACAUGUGCAUGUGUCUUUAUAGCAGCAUGAUUUAUAAUCCUCUGGGUAUAUACCCAGUAAUGGGAUUGCUGGGUCAAAUGGUAUUUCUUGUUCUAGAUCCCUGAGGAAUCACCACACUGACUUCCACAAUGGUUGAACUAGUUUACAGUUCCACCAACAGUGUAAAAGCGUUCCUAUUUCUCCACAUCCUCUCCAGCACCUGUUGUUUCCUGACUUUUUAAUGAUUGCCAUUCUAACUGGUGUGAGAUGGUAUCUCACUGUGGUUUUGAUUUGCAUUUCUCUGAUGGCCAAUGAUGAUGAGCAUUUUUUCAUGUGUCUUUUGGCUGCAUAAAUGUCUUCUUUUGAGAAGUGUCUAUUCAUGUCCUUCGCUCACUUUUUGAUGGGGUGGUUUUUUUCUUGUAAAUUUGUUUGAGUUCAUUGUAGAUUCUGGAUAUUAGCC